GACGAACGCUGGCGGCGUGCUUAACACAUGCAAGUCGAACGAGGCCCUCCUUCGGGAGGUGUCCUAGUGGCGAACGGGUGAGUAACACGUGGGCAACCUGCCCCCGGCUCCGGGAUAACUCCAAGAAAUUGGGGCUAAUACCGGAUAUUCACCGCCGGUCGCAUGGCCGGUGGUGGAAAGUUUUUCGGCUGGGGAUGGGCCCGCGGCCUAUCAGCUUGUUGGUGGGGUGAGGGCCUACCAAGGCGACGACGGGUAGCCGGCCUGAGAGGGUGACCGGCCACACGGGGACUGAGACACGGCCAAGACUCCGACGGGAGGCAGCAGUGGGGAAUAUUGCGCAAUGGGCGGAAGCCUGACGCAGCGACGCCGCGUGGGGGAUGACGGCCUUCGGGUUGUAAACCUCUUUCAGCAGGGACGAAGCCGCGAGGUGACGGUACCUGCAGAAGAAGCACCGGCCAACUACGUGCCAGCCGCCGCCGUAAGAC
rnacentral:rRNA from 1 species